GGCGAGAUAGCUCAGUUGGUUAGAGCGUCGGAUUCAUAAUCCGGAGGUCGUGGGAUCAUGGCCCACUCUCGCUA
rnacentral:tRNA from 2 species